UACGUAGGGGGCAAGCGUUGUCCGGAAUCAUUGGGCGUAAAGCGCGUGUAGGCGGCUCGAUAAGUCUGCUGUGAAAGUCCAAGGCUCAACCUUGGGAUGCCGGUGGAUACUGUCGAGCUCGAGUCCGGAAGAGGAGUGUGGAAUUCCUGGUGUAGCGGUGAAAUGCGCAGAUAUCAGGAGGAACACCAAUGGCGGAAGGCAGACGACUCUGGGACGUGACUGACGCUGAGACGCGAAAGCGUGGGGAGCAAACAGG
rnacentral:rRNA from 1 species